ACGCGAGGAACCUUACCAGGUCUUGACAUCCCAUUGACCGCUAUGGAGACAUAGCUUUCCCUUCGGGGACAGUGGUGACAGGUGGUGCAUGGUUGUCGUCAGCUCGUGUCGUGAGAUGUUGGGUUAAGUCCCGCAACGAGCGCAACCCUUGUUCUUAGUUGCCAUCAUUUAGUUGGGCACUCUAAGGAGACUGCCGGUGACAAACCGGAGGAAGGUGGGGAUGACGUCAAAUCAUCAUGCCCCUUAUGACCUGGGCUACACACGUGCUACAAUGGACGGUACAAACGGUUGCCAACCCGCGAGGGGGAGCUAAUCCGAUAAAACCGUUCUCAGUUCGGAUUGUAGGCUGCAACUCGCCUACAUGAAGCCGGAAUCGCUAGUAAUCGCGGAUCAGCAUGCCGCGGUGAAUACGUUCCCGGGCCUUGUACACACCGCCCGU
rnacentral:rRNA from 1 species